GUCGUAACAAGGUUUCCGUAGGUGAACCUGCGGAAGGAUCAUUAACGAGUAAACAGGGGAGUUGUAGCUGGCCGCAAGGCAUGUGCACGCUCUCUACUCAAUCCAACCUUACACCUGUGCACCUAUUGUAGGUCGAGUGGCUGGACUUGUUCUGGUCGCUCUUCCUAUGUUUUACACAUACACUUGUAGUCUCAGAAUGUAAUCCGCGUAUAACGCAUUAUAAAACAACUUUCAACAACGGAUCUCUUGGCUCUCGCAUCGAUGAAGAACGCAGCGAAAUGCGAUAAGUAAUGUGAAUUGCAGAAUUCAGUGAAUCAUCGAAUCUUUGAACGCACCUUGCGCUCCUUGGUAUUCCGAGGAGCAUGCCUGUUUGAGUGUCAUGAAUAUCUCAACUCAUCCGGUUUUUAUUAACUGUGGUGGGCUUGGACUUGGAGGUAUGCUGGCUGACUAGUCGGCUCCUCUCUAAAUGUAUUAGCUGGACCUGUUACGGAUCAGUACUCGGUGUGAUAAUUGUCUACGCCGUGUCUGUGAAGUGCUUGAAUGGACUAGCUUCUAACCGUCUUCGGACAACUACUGACAUUUUGACCUCAAAUCAGGUAGGAUUA
rnacentral:rRNA from 1 species